AUUUGUACCCCAGUAUGAGCUGAGUGUUAAGGUUCAAAACAGCUUCCUGUGAGCUGAUAUGCUCCCAACCAGCAGGCACCUCUGGAAUGAACUCCUGCCAGGCCAUUUCGGCAGCCGGCUGGCACUGCUCCUCCAGGUGCCUGCCUGGAAUCUGUUGGAGUGUCUCUGCAAACUGCUUCAGCAGCUUGUCCUGUGGUACUCGAGAGCAGCUUUGUGGUUUGGUGCAAGAGGAGACAAACAUAGAAGCUAAUAGUUCUGCCACUGCUCUCUAACAGUGUUUAAGUAAUUGAUAGUAUUUGUCUUGAACCAUUAUUUACAUCCAAUUUUUCCAGAACAAAUAAUAAAUAACCAGAGCAGUAUUUUUUAUUCCUAAAUUACUACACAGGAACUUCAGGUCUAUUAAAGGCUUGGUUGUGGCACUGAGAAUUCCCAUUGAGUAACUUUAUUUAUUCACAGCUGCCAGAAUUAUGGCUACCCUGUACAAGAGAACAAGAUGAGGUAGAACUUAACCUUGUAGUGGUAUAUAUAGAAAUUCUCAUGACGGGGUGAACAUUUAGAAGAUGGGAGGACUGGGCUGGGCCAUGGACAUUCUGCAUAAUCACUGAUGAAAUCUGGUCCUUCCAGGAGACUUCUGGUCUUUCAGAGGUGGCAUCCAGAAUCGUUUAGAAUACGUCACCUCUGCUUACUGCCCUUCUCCGUGCGUCUGGUAUGAAAAUGUUAAUGGCCCCUCUGUCUCACCUUUUAGCUUUCUGUUUGCCUGCUGGCACUGUGAGAUCUUCAGGGAACAGCCUGUUUUAUACUUGAUGUUUGAAUAGCUCACGUCCCCAGACAUAAAAUUAUCUCACCUAUAAAAUUUAGGUCUACUGGAAUACAGACAAUAAAGAGCUGACUGCUAAAGUAUGCAAAUGAGUGAAAUCCCUGUGGUCUCUACAGGUGUCACUAUGAGGCAGAUGAAUCUAACUAAAGAUAAGAGAAAAAAACAGAAAGCUAGUGUAAAUGAAAGGGAUUGCUGUUUGUUUUGCCAAGAAAUGCUGAGAUUUUAAGAUAUGAUGCUUUGAAAGCAUGCUGAGAUGCAGAAAGGUGCUAUUUUUUUAAGUGCUUUGAGGCAUUCUUCCAAUAAUUUAAGGAGAAAGCACUACAUAUUCUAAGAAAAUAUUGCAUCCAUCCUUGUAAUGAAGGUUCAUUAGGCAUCAGAUUGAUUUAUUGUAUUGUUUCUUUUAUAAAUUAUUUUCAUUAUGUUUUAUCACAGUACAUGACUACUGCCCUAGGGGAAUAUGCAGGAAUGAACUGAAUUGCAAGCGUAAUAGACUGCUUUAAUUAAAAUAGUGUAAUGCAUAUUUCAGUGCUAUUAACAAAAACAAAAUUGAUUUUGUUUUCUGGAUAAUUGAAUAUAUUAAAGACCAGGUGCUAUGCCUCUAUUGUUUAACCCUCUGAGUUCAGUUUCAUUUGGUGUUUUGCAGUAGGAAAAGCAUUUAUUACCAAGCAUUUCAGAAUAAUUUUCUUCUCUGCUGGCAACAUUUCCAUCUUCCCUUCUUUUCCCCCUUCCUAUUCCCUUGUGCAUGUGUAUACCAUUAUUGAGGAACAGAAAAGCAUAAACAUGAAUUUCAGUAAUGAAAGCCCCUUAAUCCUUAACAGCAUCUUCACAUGAGCUCCAGACAGUGAGGACACUGAUCCAUAAUAAAGGAAAACCCAUUAUUUAUCUGUGCUUUUUAACCUGAUGUUCUGUGGAGACAGCAGCAGUCAGCCACCAUAAUUCCAUUAGUUAAUGAACACUUCAGAAAUUUGUCCAUCAUAAGAAAGACCCUUUAAAAUUACAGUCAAUCAAUGACACCUACUCUUCUAAGUGGCUUCCUUUUCUCCUUUUUCUUUUGAUUUAUAUAGGCUAUGAGUCUUUUUUAUUUCCUUUACCCUCCAGGUACCCAGUUUACCUUAUACCAUGAAGAUGCAUUAUGCUAGAGACAUGACAGACAUGGGCAGAUCAGGUUAAUGAUUUCUGAGUAGACCUGUCAAAUGUAACCAACUGGCCUGGAAAAUGAACAGUGUCAGGGAGAUACACUACAUGACCCAUUGCCAUCUGCCAUAUACCCUAAAUAGCAGAUAGUCCCUUCACUUUUGUCACAGGAAUUUUCACUGGAAACUACUACUUUGCAAUAAAUAUUGUAAGGAGUCAGAUAUUUCUGGUUCAGCAGUCAUGAGUUUUUAUCAUUUGUUGGGAUGGCAUGCUGUAUUUCAUAUAAAUGACUUCCUUAAUAUCAAGGCCUUCAGUCUUCUUCACAUUCACCCUUGCUUUCUAAUUCCAGGAAAAGCACUCACAUUCUCAGGUGUCUUUCCAGUGCAGUCACUGCAGAUAGCUGCAGCUGGAAAAAGGAAAAGAGAAACAUUUUAACAGACGUCUUUUCUAUUCUCUGCAGAGCUAAUCACAGCAGGGUCAUAGGAGGCAGAUACGUUUGCAGGACUGAUGCAGAGCUCCAUUGCUCAAGGUGGAUCCUGAGGAAUAGUUGCUAUUUAUUGCAGCCCAAUGUAUUGGAAUUCAAAACCAAGGAGAUCGAUCAUCCUCGCAUCAGAUCUGAGGUUUGGUACAUAGUAUGCAUUUUUUGCAGUGUGGUGGAACAAAGCAAUUAUUUCACAGCUGAAGGAAAACCAGAAGAUAUUUAAAAAUGGAAAGUUCCCUUCCCAAGCCAUAAUGGAUGACGACGGUAGUAGAAGUAAUAUAUUCAGAGGGACCAAAACAGGAUAACAAUUUUUCAGAAGCUGAAGAAAUAUAUGAGGGAAGAAGAGAGAUUGAUACAGCAGCAUUGGAACCAGCUUUGUCCUUGGAUUGCAAGGGAAUGGAGAAAUGAGGUGUCUUCACAGAUCUUUCUUAUGUGACCAAGUGGCAGAAAAUGCUGCAGAAAUCUACUUCAGACAGUUAAGUAUUCAGGUUACUGAAAGCUGUGUUUACUAUUUUUAUAUCUAUGGUUGUGAGCUAAGUAUUUUUUUUUUUUUUGCCUGUUCACAUCCUUGCUGCCUGCAGAGCUUCCCAGUUGCUAGGCUGUGUUUAAUAUAUUAUUUUCCCAUUGAGACAUCUAUGCUCCCUGUCACAUCUCUGUUGUCUCUUUUCAGUACUGUAUGAGCCCCAUCUCUGGCUUCUCUAAAUGUUAAAGACCUCUCUUCCAGUUAUUUAUACAGUAUUUAAAAUACGUCCCUUAGUAAUCUUGACUUCAUCAGCCUGACCCCUCUGAACCACCAUUCACCCUUGGUUCAUCAAAUCAGGUUCAGCCUUCCUGCCUUUAGCUUAGGACAUUUUAAUUCUUUUUUUCUGCAUAAUGUCUGUUUCUGUCUCCUAUAUUGAGAUUUAUUAAAAUUAUUUAGCCAUUUUAAGAUGAAACCGUAUGUCUAGUUGAGUGUUCAAAAUCAGUGACUACCUAAUUCCCUCUGAGACUAACACUCAUUCAUUCUCCUCAUUAACUUAGCAAGAGGACUUAGAGUCCAGCAUUGCAGAUUGUCUCCAGGCUUUCAUGCCUGAACUUCUCUUUCACUGUUGGGGGCAUAGAUCCUUCCUCUUCUGAGGACAAAGAAAUUUGGUGUCAUCCAGUCUGUGGAGAAAGUUUGCUGCAACUUGGAAUGCUGUUCUACCAAACAAUUCCUUUCUUCCAUCUGCGACACAAUUUUUUAGGGUUUUCCGAUUAAUCCAAAUACUGAAGAUAUUAUAAAGCCACAGAAACUGCUUUAGGCCAAAGAUGGCAAUUACAGCUAAGAGCUAGAGCUAACUGAAAGGCUUCCUAUUUUUUAACAUUUUUCUGUGGCUUUUAAGAUCUUUUUGUGUCACUCUGGAAUGAAAACCAAGUGCACAAAGACUUUUGGCAAAAAUGGGACUUCGCAAAAUGUUCAUCUUUGGCUCCAGAAACUGUUUUUCUUCUACUCUCAUCUUCUAGGAAGCCUAUUGUAGAGCUUAGAAAUAAUCCUGUCAGAACUUCAUCAAAGCCAGUAUUUGUUUUCAAAAUGUUCUAGUUUUGGCAUAAUAUUAGUUGGAGAAGAAAGUAUUUAAUCCAAAAUUUUCUGACUAGUUCCAUAAAUGUCAUUACAUUAAUUAGGUACAUAAGUAACAGUAGCUGAAUUAGCUAUGUUUACGCAUGUCUAGUCAUCUGAAAGAAUAUGAAGUCAGACAGGACUCAAGGGUUGGCUCAGUAAGUGUCAUAAAUUUUAGUAACCCCUGAUCUUGAUGCUCAGUAGAACACAUCUGUGAACAAAACUAAUUGAAACAUCAAGAAAAAGUCAAAACAAAUGAAAAGCAUUAGCAAAAAAAAAAAAAAAAAAAUUAAUUUAGAGUAAUACGUUAGGGUGAGUGGCAAAUUAAAUUGCUAUCCAAGUCCUGACGCAGUUUUUUAUUUGAAACUAUAACGUGAUUAUUGAUCAAAUGAAUUAAUUCUAUUUUGAUGGUAAUAUUAGCUUUUAAGUAACACAUAAACCUAAAAAUAGUUUAAUAAGGCUUCAGGGUCAUCAUCCUCCAAUAUUACUGUAAUCAGGAAUAGUUCCAAUGAAUAUAGUUAUGUUGUAUUCAUGAUACGAUAAAGGCUAUAUAAUUGAAAUCAAAUUUAGAGUUUUUUAAGGUUUUUAUUCAUUAUCUGAUUAGCCUACUACCUCAUAUGAAAGUAGUCAAGUCUUCUGAAUCUUACUCAUGCUGAGUGAAGACAUAUCUGGAUAUCGUGGAUAUUUCUGAGCCAGUUACUAUCGUACUCAUAUACAGUUUCUUCUGUAGUUUCUUUCUGGUUUUGUGUGUGUGCAUGUGCAUUUAUUUCAUAUGACUAAGAACCUCUAUCUAUCUGAAGAGUUGCAGGCUUUGGUUGCUAUUUCUCUACGGAAUGACUGGGAUGGCAUAUGAUGGUGCUUUGCAAAAGGAGCAGAAAUAAGUUAGCCUGAUGAAAUUUGUAGGAGAUGGCAGCAUCUGCUAACUCCAAACUCAGUCCUUGUGUUUGCUUUCGGUUCUUUUGAAACUAGUUUCUUGUGAUGUAUUUUAAAAUACAUAUUGUAGUACAGUUUUUCUCUAAAGCAUGCACUAUCAGAGAAUCACCUCUGAUGUAGAGUUGUCUUUUCAGACUUGCGGAACACAUUUCUUGUUUCUUAGAAUCUUUUAAAAUGUUGGUGUCUAGUACGACCCAAUGCACUGAAAUAUCUUGUAUAUAAUGCUAUUUUCUAAUGAACCGUGAUUCUCUGGUUCUGUCAAGAGUCGUGCUCAUAUUAGUAAAGGCUAAAUAGAGUACCAUUAUGUAUCUAGCAGAGAUAGUCCUUAACAGACUUGUCAAGUCUUAAGCAGUGUGCAUAAAAGAUGAAGCAUCUUGUUACAUCUGAUACCUCCAACUCAAGUGCUCCUAGGAAGUCACUGCCUUCCUCCCUUCUCCAGGACCAUGCAGGCCAGACAUGGCUUCUCACAUCACUCAUGGAGGGCUGGCUCCUUUGCUGCAGUCAUCUGCCAAACUCUUGUUACACUGAGAACCUCACAUCAGAUUAAAAGUUUCAUAGAGAUAUUCAGACAUCAGUCACUCACACCACAUUUCCUGCCCCCACGGCAAUACAACUGUAACCCCCCAAGAACUCUACAGAAUCUGACUUUGUAUAGAAAUUAAUAUUGAUUAGGUAGCACAACUGAAAAAACUUUCUAAAGUGUGCAGUAACAUAUAAAUUAGAAUUCUGUCCCUCCACCAUGUUCUGAACUAACCAUGUUCUGUUGAGAGUGAAGCCUGAAUGGAAUUAGCACUCACAACACUAUGCAGAGCAUAGUUUCAGAUUAAUUUAUAUGAUAUGAUGAUGAAAAUAAAGAAGACACCGACCAAAGUCUUCAGAAAUCCUAUGUUGAAAUAAGGAAAUACCUUUCCAUUUUAAUAAUUGUUGAUAUGGUCAGUGUCAGCUUUUUUAUACAGUAAAGGUAUGAAAGUCUGUGUUGUGUGAUUAGACAUUAAGCACAUUCAUUGAGGGACGAUUUCAUGGAGUCCCUGAUAUCAGUGGAGCAGUGGCAGCUGUUGGGCUUAACUUUGCCCAGGUUUAAGUACUUUUUAAAUUUGAAUAUGUUGGAGUCUAAAGUAGGAAUGAUCAUUCUUACUUUUCUUAUUCAUUCCAUUUUAUAGGGGCUUAAGAAACUAGGGGAAUCAGGCCCUUUGUGUAAUACAUAUCGUCUUACAUGAUUUCCAAUGAAGGAUAUUUUCAAGUAGGAGCUUAAGCUUAAAAAAAAAAAAAAAAAGAUUAACUUAAUUACUCUUGAGAUAUGGUAGAAUUCCAGUUGGCCACCUGAAUAAACAUACAAUUUUAUCAUUUUUUUCAGUGUUUCUGUGCUGCAGGAGUACAAAAGUACAGAUGCAUCUCAUGAGUAUAUAAUAAAGAGAAAAUAAGCUACCAUACCCUUUUCAAAAGAACUAAUCAAGUACUAAAAGGAAAAUUAAUGCAAAUAAAAUAUUGAUUAAGAACUAAAAGGAUUUUAAUUAUAUUACUUUCAGAAAUAAUUUAAUUUAACCCAAACAGACAACUAAGAGCAGAUAUUUUGCCUUAGCAUUUUUCAGAUUGCUAAUUAAAAUUUCUAGGAGGAAAUUCAAGUUUAGUGACUGGAUUUUAAAGAUAAAUAAUGCUUGCUUCUUUUCAUAAUAGUUUUAUAAAGGUUUACAUAGUGCCAAAAUAUAAUACUGCAUGCACAUUUUUUUAAAAACAAUCAGAUAACCUGGAUGCUCCAUACAACCACUGGGGGUAUCGAGCACUCUCACAUUAAGAAAACUUGAAAAUUAAGUGUGUUAAGGUUAAAUAUCUGUCAUAUGUUUGUUAUGUAGAUUUAUAUCUACAUUGUUUAUGAAAUUCUUUGGAGAUAAUUGCUUUUUGGUAAGAUAAAGGCAAUUAUAGUGAUAGAGCACUCUUUGUGCUUCCAUUGCCACUGAGUAGCAAUUUUACUAUUUAUCUGAAAAGAGAUGUAUCUGAUUCUUUAUUCUCUGCCAUAAUGACUUGAUCCAAAAUCCAGUGAAGUAAAUGGAAAUUGCUCAUCACUCUAUAAUUUUGUAUAGCAUUUGGCUUUCAAUGCCACUGCCUACUUUACAUUGUAUUAUUUAUAAGACUGCUGAUCGCUUACAUAUACACCACGAAAUGGAAUGGGAAUGCAGUAAUACAGAGGCACAACAUUUGGAAGCUUUCUACAAAGAAUCUUUUACAACUACAAAUUCUUCACAGAGCAUUAAGGCAAACUGCUCAGAAUUUAAUUAAGCUCCUUUCAUCUUCUUUAGAUGCAGAGUGCUAAAUUAAAGAGAAAAAGAUGAUACUGAGCUACCUGUCCAAACACUUUAGGCAAAAAAAGGUAUAAUUAACAGUCCUUAACAUUAGAUUAGGGAGCAGUAUCAGAAAAUCCCCUUUAUGCCAAGACAGAGGGCUAGAACAUGCCAUGGGGACAUGACAAGAUUCAGAACCACUCUAAAGAAAAUUGUUACACAGAAGAAUCACGUGUCCCAUUAACCAGUGCUCCCUCUCUUGGGCCACUGUAUGUACACAUCAUAAAGCAUGUGACAUACAACUUCUAUGCAAUUUGAAACAUUUCCUAAAAAUUAUGCAAUGCAUGUCUGCGCUACUAGUCUCACUUUGUUAGUCUGCUCACUAGUCUCACUGGUCUCAAUUUUGAAAUUUUGAUUCAGUUAUAUCCAACUUUUCAACCAACUUGACAAGAGGAUUGAGGGGGUCUCAAAAUAUGAAAAUCAGAAGAGAUAGAAAAUCCCACAGAGCCCCUAAUAAUCUGCAGCACACUUUUGUGAGUUACUAAGUAAUAGGUAAUCUAUAAAACGCAGCAAUGUUGCAACACCAGUCUAUGCAAAGCUUUGGUUUGGUCUCACUUCAUAACACUAGAAACUUGGAAGCACAUAUCUGAGGAAACCAGGCUUCACUACACUGUUGCUUAUGGAAGUAAUUCCUUCUAAGAGAUGAAUAGUAAUUUACACAUUAUUGGAUUAUCUAAUCAACAUAAAAAUGAUUUUACUUGAACACAGGGGAGCUUAAGAGUUUGUCCUCUCCAUAGGCUUUGUCAGAGAUGUAUUAUUGUGCUUGAUGGACUUGAACUGAUAGGGUUGCUUCUCUGUUCCUUUGGCUUAGUCAUGAACAAACAAAAACUAAUUUUGGCCACUCAGCAUUCCGUGAACCAUACAAUCCUCUGCACAUGAUACUUCUGCAAGAGUAAGCUUUAAAAACGAAACUCUUGUUCUCCGUAGGCACUAGAGAUGCAAAUUUGGUGGGACAGAAUCUGAAGGCUAUCUGUCUUCUCAGUUACCCUUUCUGCAACGUAAUAUUUCCUUUGCACUUUGAAGUGGUUGUAUUUAAGCUCAGUUGUGUACGUACAAAAUGAUCUCUGACGAUGAAAGGUAAUAUGAAACGAAAGAAAGACUUUGCAACAUGAAAGGCAUGAAAGAGGAAGAGAAGUAAAGGAGAUGCACUGUUGUUCACCAUUAAUCAUUUCAGCUGGCUACACCUACGUUAAAAAUGCAUGUGCAUGUAUUUACACAACACACAAACAUGCAACGAUGCAAACAGUACACUGCAUGUUUGUUAUGUACAUUGAGUGCAUGUGCGGCUACAACAGAAGUAAAUGAGAAUGAUACUGAAACAUGAGGUGUAAGCUAAAGGGAACGUUUGAACGGCUGGAUGUUCAGCGAUGUAUGGAGCUGACAUUUGCAAAUCUAAGUUAUAUAUUCUGUUUUCAUUUCUCGACCCUGUCAGCUAAGCAAUCCUUCCACCAGACAGAAAGAGGGAAGAAGGGACAUAAUCCUGAGAGAGCCGAAUGAAUAUAUAUGUUUGCAAUUUCCCUUGAAAUCUGCACAGAAAAUAGGAGUCAACCCUAAAUUCAAAUAAAUCACUGCAAAGACUCACUGACAGAUUCUUUCCAUGCACCUAACGCAGCAAUUACAGAGUCUGGUAAAACUGAGACAGAAAUUGAAAACAGGUUAUUCAUAAAGAAACAAGACGAACCUGCCAGAAUCCUGCUGAUCUAUCAAGCUAAAGAAAAUACUGGACAUCAGCUGCCUCUUAUAGAAAUUCUUCUCUAGUCUGUGAUUCCAUGAAACUGCUUCAUCUGCACACUGCUCAACAGAUCGAAGCUCAGCUUCCGUACUUGGAAGCUUCUGAUGCUUUUGACUUAUUUCCUGGAGAAGCAAUAAACUUGGAGAGCCAUGUUCUUGUUCCUAAUUAUAUAAGAAUUUUACUGCAGGAUGUGGCAAGAAUAUUUUCCUUACUGCAGAGUGUUACAGCUGCAGUCACCAACAGCAGGAUUUCUGUAUACUUGCUCUCAGUAGAUCACUCAAAAUCUACAGUGGAACAAGAGUUACUUGGCCUCCAACAAACAGCUCUAUUUCACUUUCACUGUUAAUUCUGCAAAAAGAUGAGACUCAGCUGUGUGAUCUAUGCUCGUGGGGAUGCAAAGUUUGGAUGCAAAUUUGACAAAACUGAAGAUGGAUGUCUUCUAUUUACAGAAUUACCAUUCCAAUUAAACAACACUUAUUGCCAUUAGUUUGACAUCAGUUCUCUGAGAUUAAACAGAUUCUUGAUUAGGCACGUCCUGAACAAGUGCAAUGCACUGUGCAAGUGUUUUAAUAUUAUGCACCAGUGGAUAUUUUGAAUUGCUCAAUUAAACAAUUCCUAAAUUUAAAAUUUAAAAAUAAAUAAAUAAAUAAAUAAAAGAAGAGAGAAAACUACCCCACAAUGUACAAAAGAAAAGUUAUUAUAGCAUGAUGGCACUUCCUUUGGAGCAAAUGGCAUUGAAAAGCUUACCAGACUAAGAUGUACACCUAUGCAAGAUUUACAUUAUGCAAAAUAAUAUCCUAACAGUGGCAGUACAGGAAGACAGUAUGAGCAAAUCAGUGCUUAACAAGCUAAUCUAUUAAACAUGUUACUUAUGACUUCCAACAGUUUUCAAGCAUGUAAGAUUUUUUUUUUUAAACCUCUGGACAAGAAUAUCUCCAUCAUUUUAUAACAAUAUUAUGAUAUUAUUAUUAUGUCAGUGUGACGUGUACUCUCCCUCAUUUUCAUAUGCUUUAUUGUAAUAUUUUCUCAUUUUCUCUGACACUGAUUAUUUUAGUUUACAGUCACAGCCAGAGCACUUGUAAAACUAAAAAUAUUUGUUGUUCUUUAUCACAAUACAGAGAUUAAGUGUAUUUGAAUCCAUCUCCUCUGACAAUCAUCAGCUGAGGAAAAUAGAUCAUUUUUACCUGAUGCACUGAUUAUAGACUGGGUUUCAUAAAACAGCAAGGAAUGUAAUGACCUUUCAACCAUUCUUCAUUGCAGAAGAAAUCAUCAAGUUCUUUAGACUCCAGCAGAGCAUUCAUAAAUAGUAAUGCUUAUUUAAGGUAAUUCAAUGUGCAAUAAAAGAGACAUAGAGAAGAAUCCCCAUUAGAUUGAAUAAACAGAAGGGAGUAAACUCAUGCUGUGUAUUUUUUCAUUUCUAAAUAAUUAUUUAACAUAAUCUGUACAAGAAUUUGAGCUAUCUUCAUUCUCUACUGCAAUACAAUGUAGAUUACUAUAGGAUUGUAAAUAUUGGUCUUCUAAAACUGACACUCACUGUUAUUUAGGGUAAUCAUCCUCCACCCAUCCCCAACCUGAUUAAAGUUUCUUCAGUCUUCCAGCCAUCCCCACCAACUUGGAUGCUUCAGUUUGUGGAUCAUGCACCAUUACUUUAUCAGAAUAAUGCUGAUUUUCACAACUGAACCAAGCAAAUUAUUUGAUAUCUGAUUAAUGAUUCCAUCAAAAUGGAUCUUAUUUCUCUGUCUCAUCAUAAAAUAGAAUUAAUAUUAAGAAAUGUCUGAUUACAUUCGUAAAGAACUACCCAAAUGAACUGUUGAUCUGGACUCUAUAGAAUUCAAAUUCUCCAUACCAUUCUCUCCAUGAUCCUGCACUUCAUGGCCCAAAUUUUCUUCCACCUACAUUAGACUUCCCCUAGGAUAACUACACAGACUUUACUGGAAAUAUGCUGGUAUAAAUCACAGAUAGCAAGAGAUGGACUCUAAAAGAUAUUUAGAAAAGAAAUUGAAGUUCAUUUGACUUUUUAAUAAGAAUAAACAAAAACCCCAAAAUAACACCUCCACUCUAGCUCUGAAUCCCAGCUCUUGAAACAGGAUGUUAUCAAUUCCUUUGAUAAGAAAAGAAAAGAAAGCUGAAUAAACCUAUUAUCUUUUCUGUGUGCCUAUUUUCACUUUGAUGUAAAAUAAAUAAAAAAUGAACUGACAAUUCUAAGAUAU
ensembl:lncRNA